GCCGGGAUGGUCUAAUGGGUUAAGGCGUAGCCCCGGACAGGGGAAGGUUGCGGGUUCAAUUCCCUCUCCAGGCU
rnacentral:tRNA from 1 species